CGCAGCGGAGAGAGGGGGAGGGCGGGGCGGGGCCGCGCGCGGGGGCGCUCAUUGGCCCUGGCAGUGGGACCGCGCGGAAGUGACGUGUGAGGCUCCCGGCCCAGAGAGGCUCCGCGUCAAGGUUCCGGGUGAACAGGCGCGUGCCAGCGCCGAAGGCGGGGCGGGAAUGAGCGGGGGGAGUGCGUGCGCGCGGAAGCGGGGGGGGCAGCAGCAGCGCGAGGGGUGUUCUGCGCAGGCGCGCAGAGGCACCGCCUGCACCUGGGCAUCUGCGGGGGGGCUGCGCGUGGGUGGCGGUUGGUGCCAGGGCGGGCGGUGAGUGGCAGGGAUGUGCGCGGUCCCGCCGACCCCGUCCCGUCCCGGGGCGUGUGCGCGGUGGGUAAAAGGCGCUCUGGCUGACACGUCGCAGCCUGGGGAGGCUCGGGCUUGCCGGAGACUUUGCACGGAGCAGGUCCCUCUCGCGUCCAGCCCGCCACUUAAAAGGCACUUGUCUGGACUGAGAUGCCUACAUACUAAGCAAUCACUGGCAGGAUAUUAAGAUGCCUAUAGCACUAGCAAUGCUCUCUGCAGGCUUUUAUUUGGUAAGCAAAGAGAGCUGUAGCAACUCCACUCUGUUUUGAUUACUUGCUUAUACUGAUUCAGCUAUUUAUUCUUAGUUUUUUGCUAACAGUUCAUCGUCUGAACUUUGCAAUUUAUUCCCAAGAUGCUUGGAAGCAAACACAGAGUGCUGCAAGUGAAUAUCCACAAAGUGCUAUGCAAAAAAUUACACACUUGUUUCAAGAGGCUGGUUUCCUGUAAGUUUGUGUGUUGCAACCAUUCAGCAUCUUGGGCAACUGAAAUUCCAGUUCUCAUUUCUCUUCCCCUUAGCUUGUUUCUGACUAUGCUGACCUGGUUGUGUCUUAAAGAAACAGGUGAUCAGAUUUUAGUUUUUUGUGAUCAGUGACUACACUGAAAAAAAUCAUCUUUUUUAUAAGUGCCUUGUGUCAGAUUCAGCCAAACUGAUACUGAUAUAGACCCGUCCCAGCAUCCGUAAAAGACAGGUGCAAGUAAAACUGAAAUUGACACUGUCAGAGAAGGUUAUCAUAUUUUUGAGCUGUUUUCUGUUCAAGUGCAAUGUAAAAUAAAUUACGUUCAAACUCUG